rnacentral:rRNA from 1 species
UACAUAGGGGGCAAGCGUUAUCCGGAAUUACUGGGUGUAAAGGGUGCGUAGGCGGUUAUGUAAGUCAGAUGUGAAAACCCUGGGCUUAACUUAGGGAAUGCAUUUGAAACUAUGUGACUAGAGUAUGGGAGAGGUAAGUGGAAUUCCUAGUGUAGCGGUAAAAUGCGUAGAUAUUAGGAAGAACACCAGUGGCGAAGGCGACUUACUGGACCAAAACUGACGCUGAGGCACGAAAGCGUGGGGAGCAAACAGG